UUAUCCCAAAAUUUCCCGGCUGAAACCGCUAAUUUUUACUUUCGCCUCUUCUUCCCUUUUCAAACUCAUUUCUUUCGCCUCUUUUUUCUUUUUCUCGGAUCUUCUCUCUCCCUCUCAGCAAAGAUCUUUGAUUCUUUCCGUCUCUUUUUCGUUCGCUCUUUGAGGCUAGAAACAGGCUCGUAAACCCCCGUCGUCAGUCGCUGAGCUCAUCCCUUUCCUAGACAUGGGCCAUGAGUUCCUGAACUCUUAAAGGCAAAGCUUUUGAUCAAGCUCCAGCCUUGGCAAAUAUGCAGGCAGCUCAGAAGCGUCCUGUUUCGCAACCAGUUUCACAGCCUAAACCAAAAGCCUCUUUGAAUCUUCGGUACUUUUUCACCUUUGGUUUGGGAAGCAAUAUUUGGGAAGAAAACCUCUCAGAAAGCAUUCUAAGUUUUUUUUUUUUUUUUUUGUUAGGCUUCUAAAAUUUUUGGUCUCCAGUAAGGCUUCGAUAAAAAAUGACUUGGAAGAGAAUGAUAUUGAAUCUGGUAUUGACCGACUACUAAAACAGCUACAAGAAGUAAAUAUGAAAAUGCAAGACUGGGUCUCAUCUGGUGGAUCUGAAAUGGUUUCUCAUACCUUGACUAGAGCGCCAGAGGGUUUCUAUUGAAGAACGCAAGAAAAACUUAAGGAAAUAUGAGCAAGACAAACUCAAAGAACACCAUGCUUCCAAUAAUGUGUUAGAUGGGCUGAACAUGUUUGAUGGAACUGAUGGUCAUUACUUCCACACGAGGUCAAGGGGUCAUCACUCGGUGUGGGAUUCUUGUCUUUUUAAUUAUGGAAGCUGAGAAGUACUGAGGUAUCUUCUUUCAAAUGCAAGAUGGUGGCUGGAGAAGUAUAAGUUUGAUGGGUACAAAUUUGAUGGUGUGACUUCAAUGAUGUACAAGAUUUCCUUAAGUAAAUGUAUUAUAUCUUUUAUUAUCAAGAUUUACUUGAUUAAGAAAAUGCAUUGUAUGUUUUAUUACCUUGCAUAUGUAUUAUUUAUUUUAGUUUUGAUUCUAAAUUUUAUUUUUACUUAAGAGUUCUAACUUUUGGAUUUUAA